AUUGAACGCUGGCGGCAGGCCUAACACAUGCAAGUCGAACGAGUGGCGGACGGGUGAGUAAUGUCUGGGAACCUGCCCGAUGGAGGGGGAUCACUACUGGAAACGGUAGCUAAUACCGCAUACCAUCGGAUGUGCCCAGAUGGGAUUAGCUAGUAGGUGGGGUAACGGCUCACCUAGGCGCCGAUCCCUAGCUGGUCUGCUAGGAUGACCAGCCACACGGGAACUGAGACACGGUCCAGAGUACUACGAGAGGCAGCAGUGGGGAAUAUUGCACAAUGGGCGCAAGCCUGAUGCAGCCAUGCCGCGUGUAUGAAGAAGGCCUUCGGGUUGGAAAGUACUUUCAGCGAGGAGGCGUUACUCGCAGAAGAAGCACCGGCUAACUCCGUGCCAGCAGCCGCGGUAAUUC
rnacentral:rRNA from 1 species